AAAGUAUAUAUUACGAUUAUAUUGAAAUAUACUCUCAUAUAUCUUUUAUUUUGCAUUACUUUCUAUUUUAAUUUGUUCAAUUAAUUUUAGAUUUUUUUUACAAUACUUUAAUUUUCUUUCUAAUUCACAACCUUAUACUCCUUAUUUAUUUGUCUCAACUAUUCAAUUAUAUCAUGAUGAGGUUUUUAUCUCAUUUUAAACCUAAUUUCUCAUUCCAUUUCACCCGGACAGCAAGAGAAGAGAAGGGUGAGUAACAUGUACUCCGUCUUUUUGAAGGGAAAUUCGAGCAGCAGGUCGUGGUUGAAUACUUGGAUUUUGCACAGAUAGAAUUAUGCGUCCAGAUGUUCGAUUUAAUGUACAAGUUGGUCAUGGUGUAUGAAAAAGGAGAAGCUUUUUAAUCGAUGAAACAUUUAUAAAAUGGGUUCCUGAGAUUUUGUAAUAUUAUACAGGUAUGUUGUUUGUGUAUAUGCACAGUCUAACAUAUUCUAUGAAGAAUUGGUGUCAAUUAAUUGAAAGUUUUCCGAUUUAAUUGAAAGAUAAAGUGGAAACUCUUGGUACCCAGAAA